UUUCCGUAGGUGAACCUGCGGAAGGAUCAUUCAUAAUAAGUGUUUUAUGGCACUUUUUUAAAUCCAUAUCCACCUUGUGUGCAAUGUCAGGGUUGAUUUUUCUCUCGAGAGGAUCAACCCCAAACAUCAACUAUAUCUCAACUCUUUGUCUGAAAAAUAUUAUGAAUAAAACAAUUCAGAAUACAACUUUCAACAACGGAUCUCUUGGCUCUC
rnacentral:misc_RNA from 1 species